AUUGAACGCUGGCGGCGUGCUUAACACAUGCAAGUCGAUCGGUAACAGGUGUAGCAAUACAUGCUGACGAGAGGCGGACGGGUGAGUAAUGCUUGGGAAUCUGCCUAUUAGUGGGGGACAACCCGGGGAAACUCGGGCUAAUACCGCAUACGCUCUACGGAGGAAAGCCGGGGACCGCAAGGCCUGGCGCUAAUAGAUGAGCCCAAGUCGGAUUAGCUAGUUGGUAGGGUAACGGCCUACCAAGGCGACAAUCCGUAGCUGGUCUGAGAGGACGACCAGCCACACCGGAACUGAGACACGGUCCGGACUCCUACGGGAGGCAGCAGUGGGGAAUAUUGGACAAUGGGGGCAACCCUGAUCCAGCGACGCCGCGUGGGGAUGAAGGUCUUCGGAUUGUAAACCCCUUUCGGGAGGGAAGAUGGGACGAGCAAUCGUUCGGACGGUACCUCCAGAAGCAGCCACGGCUAACUUCGUGCCAGCAGCCGCAGUAAG
rnacentral:rRNA from 1 species